CACCAUGCAUAUAGGAGAGGAUAUGGAGAAUCUAGGAAGGGAACUAGAGAUGAAGAUGACGAUGGACGAGGAAGGAGGGAUGACCCUAGUUAUAGGAGAAGCAGUGGACACAAGGAUAGCUCCAAUGGUGGAAGGGAAGAGCAAAAGUAUAGAAGUCGAGAGACAGAUGGCAAAAGUCAUCGGGACAGAAGCCAUCGAGGCGAGAGCAGGAGAUGAAGGGCCGGCCAGAGUACAAAGACAUAUCUGAUGAUGAACAGGUCAAUGACAAUUCUUCUACUUGAGAGAUCCCUUGUAGGGAUGGGAUGCCUAAUGCUGUCCCGUCGGCGUGCUGCAUGACUUUAAAUAGCUGAUGGUGACCAUAUCCCAAAAUUCUGGUUUUGAUUGGGUCAUUUUGCACUCAUCAGUCUCUCUCUUUGAUUAUGUCUCGUGGUAAAGGUUUCGGAAAAUGACCGUAGAUCACGGAUGCAUUUGUUUUGCGGAUAAUGAAAAAUUCGAAAAAUAUUUUCUUAAAAUUGAUGUCUUGUGUUACUACUUAUAAAAAUGAAUAAAUGAAAAUAUUUAGACCUUAAUUAUUAUCGAUAAUGAAAAAAAGAUUAUUAGUUAAUUAUUUCAAGCAAUAUGAAUGAUAACUUUUAGAAAAAUGCUUUUCAAAUCAUUUAUUUUUCUUGAAACUAAUGAAGCUCACGUGUAAAUAAAUCUGCCCAUCGUGAUCAGUGUUGGGGCAGUAGAACGUAAAUACAUCUUUUUUAACUCUAGUUCAAUUGGAAAACGUCCUUGAAGCAAAUACAAGACGGGCUAAAGAAGCAAGCGAGAAAGUUAUAUACCCUAGUGUCACGUGUCGAUCUUUUUCGAUCGAUCAAACACCGCGCGGCCUUAGGAUUGGUGAUCCCAAGUCAGCCUUAGAUACAAACACGCUCGAACACAAGAACCGAAUGGGCAAAGGGAGUGUAUAUUGCUUGUGAACGAACUGUUUACAAAGUGGAAGAGGGAUCCUUAUUUAUACAUGAGCGGGUCGCAUUUCAGCCGUGGAUCGUCCCUCCGAUCCAAUGGUUCAUUUUGAAUCCAUAUCAUCAUUACAAGCUAUACAACAGGCUACUUGAAGGCUACUCGAUGGUCUGCACACGGCAGGCCCUUGGGAAGUCCAUGGGUCGCACGGGAGCCCAAGGGUCGUGCGCGCCAGGCCUUGGGCAGACCAUGAGCGUGUGUUAAAAGCAAGAUCAGUGUUGCAGGUUCGUCUGACAUGUGACCGGCCGAACCGUCAUGGGCUGCUCGAAUAUCGUUUGUGGGUCGCUCAUGGGUUACGCAUGGGCCUUUCGCUCGUUUUGCUCAUGGGUCGAUCUCGAGCCACCCUUUGCGCGUGACACGGCCCGUCACGGACGAUCUUGGAUCAUGCUUUAUCCGUGGACCGUGUCAUUCUCCCCCACCUAAUCAGGCGACGCUUAGGCGACGCCCUCGUCGCGUCCGUGGCAUGGAAGGCUUCGAUAUGCUUCUUGAAUUGCCACAGAGCCUCGGAGGGUUCCCAGCUUGCUUCACUCUUAGGAAGGCCUCUCCACCGGACGAGGUAUUCUUCUUUGGUGCCCGAUACUUCUUCCGUACGAUCCGAUCAGCCAUGAUACACUCAACAUCCCGAUCAUAGGAGGUCUUUACCCCAAGGGGCGCUCGCUGUGAUGUGCCCCAAUCCGGAUCAUCCACGUCCACAUGAAACGGUUUCAACAUGCUCACGUGGAACACGGGGUGUAGCCUGAACUUGGGCGGUAAGUCCAGCUUGUACGCCGCAUUUCCAAUCCGUUGUAUCACUCGGAAGGGGCCUUCAUAGCGACGGAUCAGCCAUUUGUUCACAUUUCUGUACCAAAGGACACGGUGCAAUUUGGCUAGCACCAAGUCCCCGACCUGAAACUCCACAUGCCGUCGCUUUUUGUCGGCCCACUUCUUCGUGCGUUUCACGGCCCUAUCCAGACACGCCCGAGCCAAAUCCGCGUGUUCACCCCAUUCCUUAGUGAGCAUGCGAACGGGCUGCUUCCUCGAUACCCUGAGGCGAGUGCGCUCGAUGUGAGCGGCUGCUGUCUGGUCACGAUCUCGAACGAGCUUUGGUUCAUGGACUCGCUCCGUUGCAUAUUGUAGGAAAAUUGGGCCACGUUGAUCAACCGUGCCCAGUUUACUUGCGUGUUGCUCAUAUAGUGCCAAAGGUAGAGUUCCAGCAACCCAUUCACCCGCUCGGUCUAACCGUCGGUCUGUGGAUGCAUGCUGGUGGAAAGGUUGAGACUCGUUCCCGGCAAUUUAAAGAGCUCGGUCCAAAAUCGUCCGGUGAAUCGAGGGUCGCGAUCACUCACGAUCGUGCGUGGAACACCCCAAUAUUUGACGACGUGCUUGAGAAAUAGCUUGGCGGCUUCUUCGGUUGGGCAUUCCUUUAUUGUUGGCACGAACGUCGCAUAUUUGGAGAGGCGAUCUACCACGACCAUGAGGGCCCGACACCCUUCGGACUUAGGCAAAUUCACGAUGAAGUCCAUGGAGACACUCUCCCAUGGACGUUCCGGGAUAGGCAACGGUUCAAGGAAUCCCGCGAGGGACCGUUGCUCUAUCUUGUCUUGCUGGCAGACAAGACAUGUCCGCACAUACGUCUCCACAUCAUCCCUCAUAUGCGGCCAAUAGUAUUGAUCCUCAACGAGCGCCAUGGUGCGGUGGAUUCCCAGAUGUCCCGCCCAUUUGGAGUCGUGGCACUCUUUUAGGAUUUCCCUUCGAAGUUUCUCAUGGAGCGACACAUAGAGUCGCCGUCCUUUGGUGUAGAGGAGGUCAUCCUCAAGCCAAAAUCUCCUCGUCAAGCCCUCUCAGGCGUAUCGAAGGAGAGCUUGGGCCGUUUAAUCAUGCUUCAAUCCCUUCUUGAUAUGAUCAACCCACGGACAACCGGGCCUGCUCACCACAUUGGCCAAUUCGAACUUCCUGCUUAAGGCGUCGGCCACGGAAUUGGACUUUCCGGGCUUGUAUUCCAAUGCAUAAUCAAACUCGGCCAAGAAGUCUUGCCACCGAGCUUGUUUCGGGCUGAGCUUCUUUUGAGUUUGGAAGUAGCUUGUAGCCACAUUGUCAGUCCUCACAAUGAACCGGGAUCCCAAGAGAUAGUGCCUCCAUGUGCGAAGGCAAUGCACCACCGCGGUCAUUUCCUUCUCUUGGACCGUGUAUCGUCGUUCCGCAUCAUUCAGCUUUCGGGACUUGAAGGCCACCGGAUGGCCUUCCUGCAUUAAGACACCACCGAUGGCAAAAUUAGAAGUAUCGGUCUCUACCUCGUAUGGCUUGGUGAAGUCGGGCAGCAUAAGAACCGGCUCCUUGGUCAUGGCCCAUUUCAACCGCUCGAAGGCCUCUUGACACCGAUCCGUCCACUCCCACGGCCUUUCUUUCUUCAGCAUGUCCGUGAGUGGCACGGUGAGGUGCAAAUAUUCCCGAAUGAAGCGCCGAUAAUAGUUCGUGAAACCAAGGAAGGAUCUCAACUUAGUCACCUUGGAUGGUGGUUCCCAAUCAACAAUGGCACGGAUCUUGGCCGUGUCUAUCCGCACACGUCCACCCCCGACGAUGUGCCCAAGGAACGGGAUCUCCUUUUGUGCGAAGGCACAUUUCUCUCGUUUCACAUACAAGUCGUUUUCCCGAAGGGUCCAAAAAACUUAACUCAAAUGUUCAACAUGCUCAUCAAGCGUCCAGCUAUAUAUCACUAUAUCAUCAAGAUAAACUACAACGAACCGAUCAAGGAACGGAUGCAGUACCUUGUUCACGAGUGUGCAAAACGUAGCCGGCGCGUUAGUCAAGCCGAAUGGCAUGACGAGGAACUCGAAUGAUUCAUAACGGGUCACACAUGCUGUCUUCGACUCAUCCCCAUCGGCGAUCCGCACUUGAUAGUAUCCCGAUCGAAGGUCGAGCUUAGAGAACCAUCGGGGCUCUCCGAGCUGAUUGAACAAGUUCGCAAUAAGGGGAAUUGGGUACUUAUUCUUGACGGUCAGCUUGUUCAAUGCCCGGUAAUCGAUACACAUACAGAGGGAUCCAUCAUGCUUCUUUUGGAACAACACCGAGGCACCGAACGGGGCCUUAGAUGGCCGAACAUACCCAGCAUCGAGCAGCUCUUUGAGCUGUUUCCUCAACUCCUCCAACUCAGGUGGGGCCAUGCAAUAGGGAGCCAUGGCCAGUGGUCAAGCAUCGAGCACCAGCUCAAUCCGAUGGUCGACCUCUCUCCGAGGAGGUAGCUUCUUGGGCAGCUCGGGCGGCAUUACGUCUUGGAAGGCAUCAAGGACUUGGGAUACUUCUCCCGGUAUCGUGUUUUCUUUCGCGCCCUCCUCCUUUAAUGCCACUGAGAAGGUCACCUCGCCUUUCUUCAGCCCUUUGGAUAGCUGCAUGGCCGAUAGCAUUUUUCGAUUGCGUCCCGAUUCGCGGUAGAUCGGGACCAUGCAUUGACACCGCUUGUCCAGGAUACAUAUGCAAUCCGCGAAGGGCAUGACACCCGCAUUUAUCCGGUCGAGAAAUCCCAAUCCGAGUAUGAAAUCAUAGUCAUCGAGGGGAAUUACCUCGAUAUCUUCUUUGCUGGUCCAAUGACCUAGAUGAAACUCCACGCCCCUGGCCAUGCCGUUGGUCGAGACUUCUCUGGAAUUCACCGUCUUGAGCCAACCGGACUCAUUUGCCUCGACCGAAAGAUGCAGCUUCUCCGUAGCCUCUUUGGAUAUGAACAGAUCGGACACCCCGGUAUCCACGAGUGCGCUCAUCGUGGUACCUCCGAUCUUCACAUCUACAAACAUCAUUCCUUUUGGUUCUUUGGCCUUCUUAGCCUUAAUUGUUCCAAGGAACCACGCCUCCUCUCGCGGCUUGUCUUCUUUGCACAAGGCUGCCAACUUCCCCCUCUUCGGGCAAUCGCGAGCCAUAUGGGGACCAUCGCAAAAGAAGCACUUGUACGUGCGCACCUUGCGUUGAUAUCCUCCAUGGCUAGACUCGAGUUGGUUCCUAUGAGGGUUCGGAGGCGGUCUGUUAGCAUUCGGUCGAGGGAACCAGCCUCGAUCUCCCCCACCAGUGGCCUUUUCUCUCGGUCGAGAGUCGAGCUUGGCCGCAUUUGCCGGCCUAUAUUCCACAAGGGACUCGGCCACAGAAGUGGCUGUAGUGAGGUCCGUUGUAUUACACCGUUUGAGCUCCUGUUUGACCCAAGGUUUGAGUCUGCUCAUGAACUGGUGGAACGCCUCCGUCUCGGUCAUGGAUGGGAUUUGGAGCAACAGUUCUAAGAACCGCUUCACGUAGUCGCGAACUCCGCCCUUCUGCUCUAGGUGCUUGAGCUCCCCUCGGGCUUCCUCCUCCGCAUAGGCAGGAUAGUAGGUUCGCCGAAAUUCCUCAACGAACCGAGCCCAAGUCACGAUAGGAUCGCCAUUCCUACCAUCCGACCGACGUCUCCACCAUAGCAGCGCAUCAUCAGCUAAAUACAUGGCUGCGGUGUUCACCCGGAUCACGUCGUCGGUUAUUCCCAUGGUCUAGAAGUAUCGUUCCAUAUACCAUAGGAAGUUAUCCACGUCCUUUGCCACUCGAGAGCCCUUGAACUCCUUCGGCUUGGGUGCAUCGGCACGGGACUGCACGAUGAUCACCUUGUUCACGCGUGCUGCUUCAAACUCCGUGAGCUUGCCCUUCAUCUCCGCCAUUUCCGCCCGCAUGGCUGCCAUCGCGGCUUCCCAAGUCUCAUUCCGCUGCUGCAGCUCAUGCAUGAAGGAUCCUUGCACCUCGACACGGAGCUCUCCCAUGUUGGCUUGGAGCUCCUGCACUUCGGCCAAGAACUCCUCCCUUCCGGCUUCCGCUCCUUUGACGGCCUGGUGCAGGUCGUCCAUCAACGCUUGGACAUCCGUGACGAUUUCUUCUAAGGCCGUCAAACGGUUGUCCAGAUCCCCCUUCGAAUCCCUCGCACACGAGGCAGCACGGGCCUUAUUUGACCGAGUAGCCCUCUCAACUAGACGCCCACGAUCUUCACGCUCAUCGCCUUGAACGACCGGAGCAUCAGCACGAGGAUCAGCCAUUUCGUUUGGGAAUGAUGGCUCUGAUACCACUUCUCACGGAUCGAUCUUUUUCGGUCGAUCAAACACCGCGCGACCUUAGGAUUGCUGAUCCCAAGUCAGCCUUAGAUACACACACGCUCGAACACAAAAACCGAAUGGGCAAAGAGAGUGUAUAUUGCUUGUGAACGAACUGUUUACAAAGUGGGAGAGGGAUCCCUAUUUAUACAUGAGCGGGUCGCAUCUCAGCCGUGGAUCGUCCCUUCGAUCCAACGCUUCAUUUUGAAUCCGUAUCAUCAUUACAAGCUAUACAACAGGCUACUCAAAGGCUACUCGAUAGUCUGCACACGGCAGGCCCUUGGGAAGUCCAUGGGUCGCACGGGAGCCCAGGGGUCGCGCGCGCCAGGCCUUGGGCAGACCAUGAGCGUGUGUUAGAAGCAAGAUCAGUGUUGCAGGUUCGUCUGACACGCGACCAGCCGAAUCGUCAUGGGCUACUCGAACAUCGUUCGUGGGUCGCUCAUGGGCUGCACAUGGGCCUUUCGCUUGUUCUGCUCAUGGGUCGAUCUCGGGCCACCCCUUACGCGUGACACGGCCUGUCACGGACGAUCUUGGAUCAUGCUUUGUCCGUGGGCCGUGUCACUAGGCAACGAGCUUGCUCCUCUUCGUGCUUAUCUUCUGCAUGACAUUGAGAACCUUUUGAUAAAUACUUGGUGAUAAAUGUGCUAUUUCUCACGCUCAAGAAGAAAAGCCUAUGGGCUAAAGAACGAAAAGAAAAACUAUAUUUUCAGUUUUCUUCCACUCGGUUGACUAGGAUCAUCAUCUAUAGUGAAUUAUUAGUUUUGAAAUAAAUAAAAUGAAUAAUUAGUUUUAAUAAAAUUGUAUUUAGCCUUCGUUCAUUUCAUGAAAAAAAAUUUUCAAAAAAAAAAUUCUGAAUUUUCUAAUAUUGAUUUUACAGAAAAUGAAUUAAUUAGGGAAAAUAUUUUCUAUGAAGGUAAAAAAAUCUUCUAAGAUAGAGGAGAAUAUUUUUCACCUUUUAGAAAAGAGAAAUAUUUUCCUCACUCAAUCCUCUUGUCUCAUAUUUACGUUAACAUUUUCAUCUUUUUUCUUUUUUUUUGCUUUUUUUUCUCAUUUAAAAAAAAAUUAAACGUUUAAAUUCUUUUCUUCUUUUUCUAGUUCCAUCUCACGGCGGGGACCAGCCAUAGACAAAUCACAAGCCCUAGCUCACCGCUCGCUUGAUCAGUGAUGAGCUCGAGCCCUAGCUCGCCACUCGCCCGAUGGACGGCGAGCGAGGGCUCCAGGCUCGCCAAUCUGGAGAAAAUACACUGCUUGUUUGCUCACCCAGUCCUCCAGAGAAAAUACACAUUCUCUGCAACUCAUAAAAGGUUGGGCCCCCUUCACUUUGGAGGACUUAUGACUUCUCAAAGUCAUCGCUCAUCUUCUUUCUUUGCCGAAGAGAAAACGCACCGAGAAAGUAGAGCGAAAGCGCAUUGCACCUUCUCUGCAACUCAAAAAAGUUGGGCCACUUCGCUUUGGAGGACUUAUAUUGGCUUGACUUGUUAAAGCCGUUGCUCAUCUUCUUUCUUUGCCGAGACGAAAACAAGCAUCUCCGAGAAAGUAGAGCGAAAGCGCAUUGCUCCUUCUCCUGCCUCCUCCGUCGCUUCCCUGAUUCCUCUUGAGAGGACCCAAGAUCAGAUUCGGGAAGGAGGACUCCACGUCUCGCUGCCAUCACAUCCGGUGAAGAUCUCGAGCUCCUCAAGGGGGAUGGAGAGAAACAGGGACUCACCAGACGCAGUGGCGACCGCGUCCGUUUGUGUCGACCGCGGCGAUCCGUCGUCAGGGGCCGAGUUCGAGGUGUUCUUGAGUUUCAGAGGCCCCGACACCCGCCUCGGCUUCACCGACUGCCUCUAUCACUCCAUGGUUGGAGCUGGGAUUCGCGUCUUCAGAGACGACGAAGAGAUCCGAAAGGGCGAAAAGAUUGGAGGCGAGCUUCUGCGUGCCAUCGAAUCCUCUAAAAUAUUCGUGCCCAUCUUCUCUAGGAAUUACGCAUCCAGCGCGUGGUGUCUUCGGGAGCUCAAGCACAUGGUGGAGUGCUCGGCCAAAGCGAACGACAAAGUGAUCCUACCCAUUUUCUACGACGUGGAUCCUGACGAUGUGAAGCUCAAAACUCCAUUAUACCUUGACGCUUUGAAGCAGCAUGAGGAGAAGUUUGGCCGUGAUGAUGUUCGCGAAUGGGAGAAGGCUCUGACAGAGGUUGCAAAAAAAAAGGGAUGGGGCUUGAAGAACAGAGGGUAAGAGUGUGGAUCUGCUUUCUCUUUUCUAUUUUCCGGGCAAUUAAAAGCGCAAUUAGUUAUAUUCAUUGGAGAAGUGCAUUUCGGAUUGAGAUGCUGACGCGUCCUCGAUGAUGCUUUCCUCUGUGUGAAUGCCAUAUUACUGCCCCCAAAACAAAGAGUGCUAUUAUCCACUGAGAUCCUUUUAGAGUUGAUUUUUUCUGCAGUUCUCUGCGAAACUGAGAAUAAGGAACAGAAUUUUUCUCUCGUUUUUUCUCUUUUAAUUACUCCUACCAAGCACUGUAUAUUAGUUAAUCCUCACUUCUUUCUUUUUUCCUUGUAAUUAUUGCCUUCCUUUCCCGAGCCACUCAUCCAAGCACAGUAUAGUGUAGAUCUGAUUCUUUCGUAAGUGGGAAUUUCCUUUUACUUAAGAUAGUUAUAUUCUUUUCAGUAAAACAUCGCUCAUUCGAAAAUCCAGCUAGUUUCGUGUCUGUAAUAAUCCUUAACUAGAGAGUUUAUCUGUCAUCCGUCUCACGCUAAGAUCUUGUGUUCAAUAUGGCAGGCAUGGCGAAAUCAUCAACGCUAUUAGGGAUGAUGUUUUGACUAAGCUGAAGAAAAGAAUGAGAAAUUUGCCGGAUCAUUUAGUUGGGAUUCAUGAUCAUGUGGAAGCUAUCAUGGACUUGUUAAACAAAGGUUCUCCUGAUGUUUGUUACCUGGUCAUCCAUGGAAUGGGUGGAAUCGGUAAGACAACUCUUGCGAGUGCCGUGUUUAAUCGAAUUUCCAAUCAAUUUCAAGGCUGUAGCUUCCUCUCGAACGUGCGCGAAUCAGCGCAACAUGGUGGAAUUAUUGGCUUACAAACACAGUUGUUAUCAGAAAUUCUCCAGGCCAAUUCUCAAGUUAUCCAUUCCGUUGAUGUAGGGAUUAGCAUGAUUAGAGAAAGGUUUCGUGAUAAGAAAGUUCUCAUUGUAUUAGAUGACGUAGAUAAGUGGGACCAACUCUCUAAAUUAGCAGAAAAGAGCAAUUGGUUUGGUCCUGGAAGCAAAAUCGUCAUUACAACAAGGGACAUCAAUUUUUUGCCGAACAAAGAGGAGGAGAAAGAGAGUAGUUGCCUAGCACAUUCUGAAGAGUUUAAGAUCUAUGAAAUGACAGAAUUGGAUUAUCCGCAUGCUCUUAAGCUUUUUAGUCAACAUGCCUUCAGGAUGGAUUCCCCACCGCCUAACUAUCUCGAUAUCUCAUACGAAAUUACUAAUAAAGCAGGCGGACUUCCAUUAGCUCUCGAGGUCAUUGGUUCCUCACUUUGUGGCGAAAGCAAAGAGUUUUGGAAAGGCAUGUUGAAGAAAUUAGAUUUGGUGCCCAAGCGGGAAGUCAUUAAUAAAUUAAGGAUUAGCUACGAUAUGUUAGAGCCUCAUCAGAAAGAGAUCUUUCUUGACAUCGCAUGUUACUUUGUUGGUGAAGAAAGAAUCUAUCCGUACUAUAUGUGGAAAGCUUCCAACUAUAUUCCAAGAUGUGAAGUACUUGUCCUUAUUCGUAUGUCUCUAAUAAAAAUAGUAGAAAUCGAUAGAUUGUGGAUGCAUGAUCAAGUGAGAGAUCUUGGAAGAGAGAUUGUCCGAUGUGAAGACGUCAAUGUUCCAGGGAAUUGUAGCAGGUUGUGGUUACCAAAGAUUGCCUUGGACGUGAUUGAGAUGAAAGAGGUAUCACUAUAGUCACCUUGCUCUUUUCCUUAGCAAUAAACCACGUAUUUGCCAACGGUUGUGGAGUUAGUUCCUCGUAGGAAAUUUUUCUUUUUUUGAUCAAGAUAAAGAAAAAAGACGAGGUUUGAAUAAGAGUUCAUUGGUGGUAAUAUCAUUAUAUAUUGUAUCAAGAUGUAAAUAAGCUAUUAGCAAAAACUUAGAGGAAUUUGUUUGUAUACGAAAAAAUUAUUCAACACAUUAUAUGAAAAUAGAUCCAGAUUGCGACUACCUAGGCUAUUAGAGCUUUCUAAGGCUGAUUUUAUUCCUUUUAGCUAAGUUGAAAACCAUUAGCAGCACUACUCUUCAAUGAGACAUCGUCCACGAGCCCGGACUUGGGAUUUGUAAUAGAUUGAACAAUUAAUAGUAGUCCGCUUUUGCGUAUGGUCCGAUAGAGCUUUCCUACAAUAUAUGGAUUUGUAACUAAUGGUCCAUCUUUAACAUGUCAAAUUAGUGUAUUAUGUAAAUAAAUCUUUCAUGUACGUUGAUCCUUUAUUUGGAAUUUACAAAGAGACCUGAAAUGAGCAUGACUACUCUGUUCUCAUCUUGUAAUAAAACUCAUAUAAAACCUAAUAAAGGGAUGCUCUGGAGCGGGCUUCAAUAAGCUCUGGAGCAAGCGGAUUUUGAUUCACAGUGUUGCAAUCAAGUUAUAAAAUCAAGACACAGUUACAAAUUGGUCUAGUAUCUUUUUUAAUGUGCUCUUUCUUAUGCAUUUAGAUAUGUACGAAGAAAUAAUGUGUGUUUCACUAUUAAACAUAAUCAAGCUUCUCAUACUUGUAUAACACCAUGUUUGUCAUCUAGUUCAAAUAUGCUCUAAUGCUUUUCCUAUCACUAGGGGACAAACAAAGUCGUAGCACUUAGACUAACGGGACUCUCCAAAGUGCACAAUUUCACGAGUGAAGAAUUUUCAAAGUUGCCGAAUCUGAAAUUCUUGGAAUUAGAGGGGGGGAACAUGGUAGGGGACUUUAAAAAUCUUCUCUCCAAGUUAAUAUGGCUCUCUUGGAGUGAUUGCCCUUCGGAAUUAAACGCGACGAAUUUAUGUCUCAAGAAACUAGCCGUCCUCAAGCUUUCAGGAAGUAAAAUUACCGAAGAUUGGGCCGGAUGGGAGCCAUGCCUGGUACAACAUCACACCUUGCCAUUUAUGUCUCUUAUUUGUCUCGCUAACCAAAUGACCCAUUUGCCUUUCUUGACUUGGCUAAUCUUGGUUUUUUUUCUAGGUGAGCGAGAACUUGAAAGUUAUACAAAUUACCAGCUGCGAAAGCUUGAAAAGGACUCCUGACUUCUCAAAAUGCUCGAAUUUGAAGAGAUUGGUUGUUGCAGGUUGUACAACCUCGCUAGUGGUUGCUGGCUCUCUCUUCGAACUAGAGCACCUCAAGUACUUGGAAAUCACGUCUCGUGGUGAUCAGCUGAGAGAGAAUUGUGACCCUUUUGUAUUAAGCGGUCCAAAAUCCCUCUCAACGCUAAAGAUAGGUAGAAUGGCAGUUCAAGAACUUCAUCAAUCCGUUGAAGAGAUGAAGGGUUUGAAGUAUUUGUCUACGGUCGGUUGUCGUUUUCCUAGAACACUUCCAGAUUGCAUCGGGAAAUUGAAAUCACUGCUUGUAUUGAAAUUAGAAAACAUGGAAAUCACAGAAUUACCUUCUUCUAUUGGGAAUCUCAAAAGGUUGGAGAUUUUAUAUCUAAAUAGGACUGCGAUAAAAGAACUACCAAGGGCCAUAGGGAUGUUGGAGAAUCUUAAAGAGUUGAGUGCUCGGUUCUGUCAAAAUCUGGAGCGGGAUAUUCCAAGUGAAAUUGGGGGUCUAUCCUUUUUGAGGAUGUUAGACCUUGGAGGAAGCAAGAUUAGGAGAUUGCCCCUAACUAUGAAUCAACUUGAUCAUCUUCAACAACUUUGUUUAGAUUUUUGUUAUGAAUUGGAAGAGUUCCCCGAGCUCCCCAUGAGUUUGAAGGAGUUGAGUUUUGCAUCUCAUUUAUUGUGGAACGCCAUUGACCUCUCGUACCUAACUAGCUUAGUUAAUCUUUAUAUAGAUGACGGGGCUCAUUGGGGGUUAAAAUUCAAAUGUGAAGCUCCAAAGAUAAAGUGGAUUGAGGAGUUAUUUAAUUUGGAGAGUUUGAUGCUCGUCGUGAGAAAUGUCACAUUUUCUCCAAUUAAUUUGGCUACUCUUUCUCGGCUUCGUAAACUUGAGAUUACUUGUGUUGGCUAUCGUUCUGUGGUGGGGCUUCCGUCCAGUCUUGAGAGUUUGUGGGUAAUCCGUGCCAGUUCUGCAAGAAAAAGGCCUCUCAUGUCCAACAGGUCAUAUCCGGGCUAUUCUGUUGUGGAGAAUUCUUUUUUCGAGGUCGUCUUUUAUGGUGUGCUUGGACAACGGCUGGUGAGUGUCAUGGGAAGGGAGGUGAGUAAUAAUGAAUUGCUUGAGAGGCGACACGUAUCAAGAUCAACGAGGGUCCAACGGUUGUUAGUACGUGUUAGCAUCGGUACUUAUGGAGAUGCAAUUGCUGCGUACAUUGAGAUUCUCUCUGAUGACCGAUUAAAUAGUAAAAAUUUCCACUCUUUUAUUCCCGGAAAUAGUUUUGAAAGAGAAUCACAUUUGUUAAAAUUUUUGUUCCCGAACCCUCUCCUUCAAACGCCGCCCUUGAGAUGUGUCGCAGUCGUCUCCGGCCUCAAACGCUGCCGUCCGCUGCCGGUCGCCGGCGAGCCUCCCCCGGCCACCCGCAAGCCUCGCCUAGCUGCCGGCGAAACAGUCGCUGUGUUAUGGAUUCUCGGCUGAAGAUGUGGCCCGAUCUGCUGCUCCUCUCCGCAGGGCUUUCCGAAUGCAUGAGGCUGUGAUGCCUGGUUCAGCCCGGGGCCCUUCCUUCCUCCUCGACUUCACUCUCCGUCCUUCCCCCUUCUUCCUUCAUUUUCUCGCCAGACACCGUCCUCGUCGAUCCAUCCUCGAAGCCGGAGGUUUUUGUCGGGGGGAGGCCGGGCGAACAUGUCGGUGCUGCUCGUGACGUGUUUAGGGGACAUCGUGGUGGACUUGCACGCCGAUAGGUGCCCCUUGACCUGCAAGAACUUCCUCAAGCUCUGCAAGUACGUCCUGCCCUCCUCUGACCUUCGAUUGCUUCUUCUUCUGAUCUCCUUUGUCCGGAGCUUAUCUAUUAGCUUUGGUAAAUGUGUUCCAUCGAUUUUUGAGCGCAUUCUCUGUUCCGAGGUUGUUCCCGCGAUGGAUCUUCUUUGGCCGUUGUAAAGCGCGCUCAUUUUGCCUUUGAAUUUUUUGCUGAGGUUGAUAUUGGGGCACUAUAUUUUGUUCGGGAAGCAGAGCGUGCGUGUUUGCGGUUCUCCAUGUUUUGGUGACGAGUAGAAAGUUAGUCAUGGGAUGAACCCACUCCUGAGAAUAAUUACCAAUCACGCGCACCGUCUUUCUGUUGAAGAGUAGAGGCUUCUAAGGAUCUUUUCUGGCCAUUUUCAGAUACAUUGUGAGCACCUCAUUAACCCUUUCCCCCCUCCCUUUGCUAUCUUAUCGGUGCAGGAUCAAGUACUACAAUGGGUGUGUGUUUCACACUGUGCAGAAGGAUUUCACAGCACAGACAGGCGACCCCACUGGGACUGGAACAGGCGGCGAUUCUGUUUAUAAGUUAGUGACUUUGCAUUGUUGGCUUUUUGCUAUGAUUGUUCAGUUUUGUGGUCUUUCAUGCGCUUCUAUGAUUUAAACUAAAAGGACCUUAUGUUGAUUAAUGGAAUAGUGGAGGUACUUUCCUUUUGGGUUAGAAAAUAGCGCAGUGUGAUUAAUUCGAAUUACAUCUCCUAUUUUAUUUUCUUGUGCAAAGUAACAGGAGUCUAGUUCUUCACUUUUAUGGGGUGUGAAGUAAACUCAAAAUUAAGAACAAAAAAGAUGUUCUUCUUUCAGUGUAUUUUGGGAAUAUAUAUGUGUCGUCCCACGUGUAUCCUUCAGUUUAAUACAGUGAUAAAUACUUGAAACAAUGAAUUGUAUUCUUUGGAGCAAUAAAGUCUGUCAACGAAGAUCAGAAAGCAUUUCUUACAUUUUCUUUUCAUAGCAAUGGAUGUGAUUUUGAAUGAAUCACCUGAUAUAACUGCACAAAUUGUUCUGUUUCAGAUUUCUUUAUGGUGAUCAGGCUCGCUUUUUCAUGGAUGAGAUCCAUCUUGAUCUUAAACACUCCAAGACAGGAACGGUUGCCAUGGCAAGUGGAGGAGAAAAUCUCAAUGCUUCUCAGGUAACUUUAUUAUGCCGUGGAGUGUUAUUUUGGUAAUAAGAUGCACCGCAUACGAAGGAGGCAGGAAGUUGCACUUUUCAAUGCAGUUGCUUUAUCUACAGUUUUCAAUUUUAAGUCAUUUUCUCCACAUCUUGUCAGACUUAUAUGACCACUCACAAGCUCAAGAUAAUGACUAUUGUUAAUUUAAGUUGAAGUUUUGUUUCACUCUUCAUCCAUACACCUGAAAUGUUGCUUCUACUGACCCUGCGCUUCUACAGUUCUAUUUCACAUUGCGGGAUGAUUUGGAUUAUCUCGAUGGAAAGCACACGGUGAGAUUCUGAUAUGAUUUCUCUGGUCAUCCUCAGUCCUCACUCUUGAGUUCUAUGCUAUGUCUUUGAUGGGUUUUAGUCGCACAAUUGCUGUUAUAUAUUUUUAUCCUCUUUGCGAUAAAGGGAGAUGAGAUGGAUUUUUUUUUCCACAGAUGAUCUUACCGCUAAAAUUUAGUCUUUCACGUUCUUCAUGGAGCCUGAGUUAUGAUUUUGGUCUUCCCUCCUUGCUCUAUAAUGCAUCUCCAAACACAUUCACUAACUAAGAGGUAUAAAUAAGGAUGUACAAACUUCAAUAGGAAGCUCUAUAGAAAGAUCUUUUGAUUGGAAAUUGCAGCUUGUGAUUUUGACAUCUUUAGGACCCAGAACAAUCAGUAUAUUAGUUUUGUUGAAAGGACGAGAGUGAGGCCAGUUUUAGUAUGUGAAAGUGUGACCAAUUAAGUGAGAUAAGAAGUGAUAUGUGCAAAUUUGAUGUCAGUGGAAAAGAAGAGUGUUCUAUUUCUUUGGCUGUAGAAGUGAGAAACAGAAUUAGAAAUAAAGGACAGCUGGGACUUAGCAGUUGGCUGCAUUAAGGAUAUCAUAGGAGGCACAUUGAGGAGGCUCAGGGCCAUUUUGGAUAAUGUUGGGCUCCCAAAUUACUUUGAUAGAAAGCAGGUAAAUAGCUGCCUUAGACAAUAGGCUGUGAAAAGGAAGGUUUUGGCCUCAAGGGGCUUUAAAAUAAUUUUAUCAAACAUCAAAACUGUCAUUCAGAGGAUUUUGCGAGUCCAAAUCUGUUUUGCAGAGUUUCCCAUAUUCACCCUUAGUCGUUCGUGGUGCUGUCUUGUUGAUAUACCAGCGAGAAGGAUUGACCUGAUGUUAGACUAAAAUAAACAAUGGUAGACCAAUUGUCUGAGAAUGAAAAAGAAUGGUAGACCUAGUUGUACAUAGAUAUUGGAAAGAGAAGGCGGUUCAUCUGAAACGUGAUAAACUAAACUGCAAAUCAAAGAGUCCCUGUGGUACAAAGGUAGUCAUUUCCUUGACUCAUUGUGCUGUAACAAAUUUUCUUUGUGCUGGGUUGAUUGAAUUGCUUUUUUAUAUGUUCCUGUGAACUUUUAGGAGAAUAUUAAUUUCAUGCUCCUUUGAUUUCUUGCUAAUCAUUUUAUGCAAGUCUGUGAGGUUCUUUUGCAAAUUGCAAUGUUCCAAAUGGAAAAUUUGGGGUUAAUUUUUUUCCAGCUUUCCUCUCUGUGGACCGUGUUCUCCUCGAAUCUCUCAUUUGGACCUUUAAGACAGAUUACUAGUAAGUAAUCAGAAUUAAUUGAAGCAGCAGUUAGAUUGGGGUUUGCAACAACUAAAAUUUUGAUCUGGCUCCUUUAUCACCUGGCAGUGUGUUUUUUAUUACAUCUUCGUGUAGAAUUGUGUGACUUCAGUUAGUAAAUACCUAUUUGGAAUCUUGUCCAUCCUGGAGUCCAUGCCUAUUGGUUCAAUCAAUUCUAAUUGAGUACGUGUAGGGUAGUCUUGUCAAGUCAUUUCAUUAUUCGAAUGUACCACUACUUUUGUACAUUCUGGGCAUUGAUAUGUGGUUGUAAAUGCGGAAUGGUGUAAAUGGGUUUUAACAAAUUAUUCAUUAUUGUUAGGUGUUUGGUGAAGUUGCAGAAGGCCUUGAGACAUUAACUAGGAUUAAUGAAGCCUAUGUAGAUGAGAAGGGGAGACCCUAUAAGAACAUCAGGUUCAUUCUUAUUCCACUCUCUCGCUCUUUGAAUUACCUUAUGUCACUCUCUUGUUUAUUUCCAGUAUGGUUCCCUAUUGUUUUGAGCAGGAUCAGGCACACAUAUAUAUUGGAUGACCCUUUUGAUGACCCUCCCCAGCUAGCUGAGUUGAUUCCCGAUGCUUCUCCUGAAGGAAAGCCGAAAGAUGAGGUGUUGACUGCUUAAAGAUUUUAUUAUCAGUUAGACUCGGAAUAAAAUAUGAUCCCAAAUACUCUGUCAUUUCGAAGGCACGAUUACAUUAAUGUAUAAUUAUCACCAACUGCUUCAUAAAUUGGCAUCUCUUUAAUCGUAUUUAUAGAGAUUGAAGUUGGACAAGAAUUCACUGAAUAUGCUGCCAAAAUUUGCUGCUUAAUGAGUAGAUAUCUGAUAAAAUGCAAGGAGUGGUUUAUCUCUAUGACAGCUAGAGGUAAAUUAGUUGUGUUUUUCUAGUUCUAAGUUUCUUGAAAGAAAUGCUGCAUGAAAUUAGUGUGUGUGCUCUGCCAUUUCUUUUACCCUCUUAGAAGUUAAUUAUUGAGAAUGAUUCAAUUGUUUGGAGGUAUACAGAAAAAACUUUGCAAUGUUUAGAUCUUACUUUUAAAAGUUAUUCUCUCCAUUAUAAUUGUAUUUGUUUCCAAUAUAAGUGUGAGAUUUCAUGGGACCACCGCCAACUGUUCUUAAAGCUUAAGCCGUUAAAUGAAUACAUAGUUUAAUAUUCAAAUAUUCUAUCACUUCCCCUUACGCUUAAUACUCACACUUAGUCUAGUACUAAGCGUGCAUAUAUUUGAUCAGGGAAGCAAAUGGGGUAUGGUACCUUUAGCUUUGAUACCAUGGGAGAUUUCACGGGAUUAUCGCUAAUUGUUCUAAAAGCUUAAAUUGUUAGAUAAAGGCGUGGUUCAAUAUUCAAAUAUUCUUUCAAUUAGAUACUAAGAGGAUAUUGAAAUCCUUGUCUAAAAUAUUACUAAUAUAUGAAGCACCAAUUUCAAGUUUUGUUAUCAAAAUGAAGCACAAAUUUCAAGUUUUAUUAUCAAAAUGAAGCUACCUGAUGAAAGAUGCCAAAAUAAUAGAAAAAACAAAUAACUGAUGAAGUUAAUUUCUAAGUGCUUAUAAAUCCUCUCGUGAGAAUGGCUCUUCAUUUUGUGUGGAAAAGGAGCUUGGGAAAAUGAUUUGUUCCAUUUGGAGUAAUCAUUUUCCUCAAAUUUAAAAACAGUUGUUUUCCUUGACAUAAAAUCUUUUUUGUCGGUUAUCCACUUUUUGGGAACCAAACACAUGAAAAGUUAGGAAAAUCAUUUUCAGAAAAAUAAAAACAGCCUUUUCAAUUCAUUUAGUUUUCUGCCAAAAAUAGAACAUUAAUCAACAUUGCCUGCUUCCGCUUCAGUAGGCCUUUAAUAGUUAGUUAUCUUAUACUUGGCUCAACUUACUUGGUUGUCUUGUCUAGCAUCCUAUUUUGAACAUCUACAACUGUCUACAGAAUUUUGUACUUCAAAGAAUUUUAUUGUUGGGUGCGAAAAAAUCUGUGUCCGCAUUAAUUCUGUUCCCCAGGUAUAUAGAGUAGAUUGCUAUCUUGCUUAUAUGAGCUCUUCUGACCUUUUUCUUUUUUGGUCGAAGAGUUCUUCUGACCUUGAAAAGUGAUAAUUAAACUUGAUUUGGGGUAAAUUUUCUAGUCAUAAUUAAGAAUACCAUGAAAAAGCUAACUUGAACAGGAAUUUUGAAGAAAGAACUUGACCUGUGCAUGGUUGGGGCCAUAAUGCUAGAUUACUUAAACGAAUGAACAGAGCCAACAGGGAAAAAAGAAGAAGAAAACAUGUAAUUUUUAACUAUUAGAUUAGGCUCAGGAGCUUUUAGUUCGAGUGGCACUGAUUCAGUCCAUUAUUCAAGCUACUCAAACUCAAAACCCAUUCAUCUGAGCUCGAGUAAUAUGGCCGCAAGCUUGAGCAUGUCGUGAGUAACGUGACUCACGUACAACUUAUUUUGUGUAACUUUCUUUAUGUCGUCAUAAAAAUGUGAAACCUACAUGUUUUUUUUAGCCAUGGAGAUGCCUCUGCAACAGUUGACUGCUUUCAUAGGAUAGAAAGGUAUAUAUACGUUAUAUCUCCUCUACCAAGGAAGUAUUUAAUAUGUCAAAAUGGCUCAUUCUGGAAGAGCAAAUGAAGGGGAAAGAGGACAAUUAUGGAGAUCCCCUUAGAAAAGCAUGAACUUUAUCCUGAUCUUGGGAUGGGUGACUCGAUUAUAUUCUUAAUUCUGAUUGCUUUUGAUUGUAACUAGAAAGUGUUAGCAUCAUUUAUCCUCUAUGAUUUAAGUAGUCAUCCCUAAUGUGUCAAAUGAGUUCUUGUUGCCUGCGACUUAUCUGUUUUUUCUUGGUCUGCUAUUUCCUGGCAGAUGGACAAUGCCUUGAUUGAUGAUAGGAGGAUAAAGGUGGAUUUCAGCCAGAGUGUUGCAAAACUUUGGUCCCAGUUCAAACGAAAAGAUAGCCAAGCAGCUAAAGGUAAGGAUGCACUCAAACUUAGUGGAGUUCCUUACUGCUUUCAGGCUUUGAUUUUCUUGAAUGGCGAUGUUCGCGUCCAACUUUGCUGGGUGGUGGGAGGAAUUGAUGCAUUUUCUCUUUUAAGUGCCCUUGGUAGAGGAGGACUUGUACGAGUUCUCUGUGGGUAAGGUUGGUAGUUUACGAUAUGCAGCUUUAGGUGUUGUCAGCAGUGGCAAGGUCUUGAGACCGUUGUGUUUCACUGAGUUAAAAGUGUCUAGGUAGAAUUUGAGGAGAAAAUAGGAUGGUGUGCACGAAAACUUGCAAAUAGCUUUUUAGUGGUCGAAGUAUUCCAUGCUGAGCUGCUUCAAAAAUGCGUAAGAUUGGAUCUGUUAAAUUAGCAAAUGCAGGUUAUGUGGGCCUUAAAUUGAGCCUAGUUUUAUCAUGAUAGAGUCAAACAUGUUGUUUUGCAUGUUCUUUUGUUCUCUCCAACAAAAUAUGCGACUCGAGCUGUCAGAUUGGAAAUUUCCUUUUGUUUGCUUUAUGGAAGCUUUAACUUUUCUUUGCUACUCAUUCAAAUACAAUGUUUUCCUGCACGAGUUCUAGGAUUUGAUGGGGACUAUGCUUAACUCCUUCAAAUUUUAUUUUAUGUGAUAAUUAACAUUGGUUGGAUACUAUGGUUAAUGUGGAUAUAUGAUAAUCAACAUCGUUGUUGUAUUUAUUAUUUCUUAUAAUAACGAGCUCUUUGAUUAUUGGCCAUAGGAAAAGGUUGCUUUAAAUGUGGGGCUCCUGAUCACAUGGCCAGGGAAUGUCCUGGAAGCUCCACUAGACAACCACUUUCAAAGUACAUUCUGAAGGAGGACAACGCACAGAGGGGUGGGGAUGACUCUAGGUUUGUUCCUGACAGUGCCCCUCCUCCCUUUUCCCUCCUUCUCUCUCUCUCUCUCUCUCUCUCUGUCUGUGUGGAUAUGCAUGUGUGGCCGGCAUGCAUUUGUGAGACUUCCCAUGUGUGAUUCUGACAGUCUUAUUCCUCUUUAGGUAUGAAAUGGUCUUUGAUGAAGAUGCGCCAGAAAGUCCCAAGUCAUGGAAAGAAAAGGCGAGGACGAGAUGACCGGGAUGAUAGACAUAAGAUGAGCAGGCAAAGUGUAGAAGAAACAAAAUUCAGUGAUAGAGAGGGAAGGCACUCUGUGGAUAAGCAUAGGCAGAGUGAAAGAAGUAAGCAUAGAGAGGAUGAGAUGAGUCGAGACAGUAAAGCUAGUGAGGCUGGUAGGAGAAGGAUUGACAGGGAUUUUCCGGAAGAGGAAAGAGAUGGAGAGAAAUAUAAGGAGAGUCACAGAGACAGAGAUGGUAAGAGAGGUGAUUAUCGAGAUUAUAGAAAGGGAAGAGCAGAUGUUCAGACUCAUGGAGACAGGAGAGGUGAUGAAAACUAUAGGAGAAAGAGUGCUGCUUAUGAUGAUGGCCAUGAGGGUGGGGGAGCUGCUAGGAGAAAAGAUUCCAAUGAUGAUCACCAUGCAUAUAGGAGAGGAUAUGGAGAUUCUAGGAAGGGAACUAGAGAUGAAGAUGGCGAUGGACGAGGAAGGAGGGAUGACCCUAGUUAUAGGAGAAGCAGUGGACACAAUAAUAGCUCCAAUGGUGGAAGGGAAGAGCAGAAGUAUAGAAGUCGAGAGACAGAUGGCAAAAGUCAUCCGGAGAGAAGCCAUCGAGGUGAUAGCAGGAGAUGAAGGGCCGGCCAGAGUACAAAGACAUUUCUGAUGAUUAACAGG
rnacentral:lncRNA from 1 species